AAUUUUUUUGCCUAUGCUAAACUUCAGACGAAGUCCGGCAGCGAAGGUGUGUUGUCACGUAUCUAAAACAUCUGAAGUUCUAGAAAAUGCUCCUGAGCAAUGUUGAUUUUUGUUUUGGUUCACUGCUGUUCCUGGAUGGACAAUGAACGAUCAUCUGAUUUGAUUGUUGAAGAAGCCAAAAAUAUUCUUUUUACAUAUAAUGCUGCCGUAGAACAAUUCAGGCAACGUACAGCCCCAAAGACAAAAUGAAUGCCAAUUUUGACAACGCUGAAUCUUAGAUGUGCCUGGUUGGCGAUAUUCCAUCACUUGUGCAUCGCUACAUGGCCAUCGUCAGGCUCAAGCAUCCAAUGAAUAUGGGAACAAAUUGCUGUGAUCUUCAACUUCAACAAUUUUACCUCUUUAGCACUAGUAGGUAAGGAAAAUUUAAUUUGCAUUUUGUAAUUUUUUUGCCAGUGUUUGGCUGAGUGAACUUGCAGUAUUAUAAAGGUAUUCAAGAUAACUGAAAUGGUAGCCCCUAAAUCAGAAGAAUUUUAUCUGACAUCUUUCUUGCGUGAACCUGUUAAGAAAAAGCCUUGUUAUAUCAAAGGGCACCUAAAGAAGAAAUUGGCUUCAUUAACGAUUCAAACUCAUUGAUUCUAACAACAGCCUGGUUGCAAACUUUUACCCAUUUCGUUGCAAUAAAUGUAUUUCUGAUCCAGUCUUCAAAACCCACAAAUGCCAAGGUACACAUAUACUUCUAAAGUGAGACUGUUAAUCUGAAAAAAAAAAAACUUGCAAACCAGCUUGUUCCCUUUAUAAAAAGAGUUGCUUUAGUCAGGUGUCAUAUUGCCUUCUAUUGGUUCCCUUUGUGGGAAAUGUAUGUUGUGUGUGAAUAUAUGCAACCCUAACAGUCUUGGAGAUCACUUUUUUUUGUCAAGAAAAUACUGGAAAUUGGUAUUGAGAAGGUCAUUAACAGAAAGUUUUUGUAUUUUAUCAGUUUAUUCCUACAUUUAACAUGGUUCUUUAGAAAUGCCAUGGAAUAAAAAAGCACUUGACAAAAAACAUUUUUAUUGUUCUCGUACCUGUAUUAGAUGGAAAUUACUUGUGCAAUGGUACCAACCCAUUCAUGAAAACAAUGUAUUCAACCAUGGAAUGUUGACCAGCUAUCUGCAGAGUGAAAAUCUACUUGACAGCAUUCAACCUCUUAAGUACAUUUUACAAAAGAUUCUGAGAAUGGCAAAAAUUAUGAACAAAUUUUGUAUUGGAGAAAUUCUAGGUAAAUGAAAGCCAUUUCACGAUACAGCUGAAUAGCUGUGAAACGCAACCAAUCGAGGAACUGAGUUUCUUGAACAACCAAACUUAUCUUGAAGAGCUGCAGAAAAAGAAUGGAACAUUACGCUGCCAAACACCUGCUUCCAAAUGGUCAAUGGCAGGGGUCUUAUUCACUGUCUCAAGAGUGUAAGUUUAAACAAGAUAUUGCUUUUGAUUACUUCUGCUGAGCUGCUUAGGAAGUUAGCUAAAGUGACGAAGAUGUGUCAUCACAGCAGGAUAAAUGUAAAAAAAAGCAAGUUCUGCAGCAAAAUCAUUGUUCCAUCGCUAUAUAUAUUCAGCACUAUAACUGCACAUGUCACAAAACUUUGCUUGAAUCAUACCGCCCUCAAGAUAUAUUGUUUACAAAUAACUCCCUCUGGUGCAGGAUUAAUCCCUUCAAUAUUGCUACUGAUACUGUUGGCUACACAUUCUCAGAGGUUAUAGCUACCACAGAAAUACAACUUACCUUUGUUAGCAGUCUUGCUAGGAUGAAAAA